rnacentral:misc_RNA from 1 species
UCAGUUUUCGCUAGCUAUUCAGUCGUGCUGCUGCUCAUUUCGCACCUCUUAGUAGUAAAAAAAUGUAGUUAAAUAUCACAAAAAGUAGUUUUUUAGUAGCGCAAAGUUCUGGUGAAAAAUAUGUUAAUUUUGUACGCGGAAUGUGCGAGUAACGGUACGUGACAGUGUGCACAAGAAAAUAGGAAUAAUGUUUUAUUGAUAUUUGGCACAAAGUAUUUGUUUAUUUGUUAUUUUGCAUUGGCUUAAUUUUUUUUAUUGUAAACCAUGGAUGAAGAUACAGAACAAUCUCCUCCAAAAGUCCCAGAUUCGCCCAAACCGCUAGCUUUUACGAUAGAUUUUGGUAACACUAAAAACGUUGAUACUCAAAGGCAGAAGGCUUUAGCAGAAAAGUUUCAAAAACGGCACAAAAGGGGACAAUCGCUGUCUAAACUGGAAGACUCCCCUACAGUAACACAUCCCAAGCAACAUCCUCUAACAGGAAAUCUCCCAAGAAAGUUUAGUUUUCAAUCUGAAGGGUAUUUUUCUUCAGAUGAAAAACCAGAUAGAGUCAAAAGUGCUAAUGCCCGCAUUGGUACCUCAAGUGCCAAACGCAGUGACUUAACUCUUUUAUUAAAAAAUGUUACUACAGACAGAUUAAAUCACACAGUUUCAAAUGCUGCAGACAGGAUGACUCAGUCUUUUCCAACCUCAGCUCUUUCAUCCAUUUUGAGCCCGGAAAUUGAACUGAAAGACGUUUCUAGUCCAGAAUUAGACCUCAUUAGCCCUUUUAGUCCCAAAGAACAAUCUAGUAGUCAAGAAAGCUCCAACUCUGGUAAGAAAAUUCAAUUUUUAAGUCCUGAAUGCGAAAAGCUUUAUAUUGGUGAAAAUAGUGAGCAAGAAAUGUUUGUUGACAGUUCUGAAUAUGAUUUCGAUAAGUCUGAUACUGCGAGUGAUGCAGGAACAUAUACCCUAGAUGCUGACAAUUACUCAGAGGAACAAAAAGCAAGAAUGAGCAUCGAUAGAGAAUUUAAAAUUGAACAAAUUUCAGUCCAAAAGAAAACUGAAGAGUAUGUGAGAAGCUUAGCUACGAUGAGAGAUAAUGUUCUGCAAAACGCUGCACUAAUAAAUCAAAGGAAUUUUAAAGAAAAUGAAGUUCUCAGAGGUAUGCACAGUAUGAACAUAAACUUGAACAAUAUUCCCAAAUCACCGAAGUCACCUACUGUGAAAAAAAUGCCCGCAGCUACACCUACACAAGCUCAUAGUAUAUUGUCUCCGAUCAUGUCUCCAACACAGAACAUAUCUAUUACAGAUGUGCAGCACAUUGACGAACCCCUCAAUAACAGUGACUGUGAUUUAAAUAAUACUUUUACGAAAAUUAUGUUUCCUAGUCCUAAUGCCAAAAGAGAUGGAUUAAAACAAAGUUACGAUCAGGGCUCAGUGAUAUCGGUAACUUCAAGUGGAGCGUUUAAACCGAAAGUUGAGAAGAAACCAGAUAAACUGGCGAGUCUUACGAAGUCUGAGGUGCAAGUUCAAGCCUACAUAGACGACAAAAAUUAUGCCGAUGUGUUCACAGAGCCACCAGCUAAAAAGGACAACAAGAAAGUUGUUCCCAAGUUGACAGCUACUAUCGUUAAUGUGCAAAGUAUAGAUGUACAAAGUUCUGUUGAUUCUAGUGGUGUUUUAAGUGCAAAUAUCGUUGUCACUCCUAAAAGCGUUAAUAAUCUACCACCUACUGUGGGAGGAUAUUCAGCCAAAGUAGCUUCGUCCAAGAUACCUUCACCAACACAUAUGGUGUCUCGUCCACGCAGCCGAAACAGUGUAAGUUCGUUAAAUAUAGAAUUUUCUGACAGUUCUCUAGAUACUGAUUCCAUUUUAAAACCUACUCAAAACUAUAUCAAUUCUCUGCAACAGAGGUUGUCGUUAGAUAGUGAUCCUGAUAGCGAUUAUGAUGUUCGUGUUCAAUUAAAUAAUACUGCACAUUUGUUAAAACAGAAAGCUUCACAUACUAGACACAAUUCUUUAGACGACAGAACUAUGAAUAAUUCGAACAAAUUAGAACACUUCCAGAACAAAAACCUACUGGGUAUUGAUCAAACUUACUCAAAUUUGUUAAAUCAAUAUUCUCAGAAUAAGGUGAUGCACAAAAUACAUAACUCCCCAAACAAUUCACCAAUCAGACGAUCCAGCAGUUUUUCCACCAAAAAUCAAAUUCUUUCAUCCAAAAAUACUAAUGUUAAUGUAGUUCAGAAAGAGUCUAAUAUCCGUAAUUCUCCAAAUGUUAGUCGAAACACCACUAUACAGAGGAGUUCCUCCACAGCAUGCAUAAAGCCAAAUUAUAUUUUAAAUCGAAGGGGAAGUACGGAACAUCAAAAGAUUGACAGGAGUCAAUUUGGUGAUACAGAGUCGAGUAGUGAGGAAGACUUUGAAAAGAAUAAUCAGAAACGUAAAGACUUAUCUAGUAUAACAAACACUAGGUGCAAUAGAGCUUUUAGUUUAAGAAGAGCACGAGCAGACAACGAACCAAGCCCUCUGAAAUGUCCAAAUACUCCAGAAAUGAGGCGAAAGAUCUUCCAGCCUGAGUUAAAACACGAACGAGCAAUUUCUGUUGAUAGAAAACCGAUGAAAACUAACGAAGUGCAGAGUCGAUAUUUAUUAAAUAUAACUAAGAAACCCCCCGCGCCAGUGACUCCCAAGGAUGUGAAAAUUGUGCCAAAAGUUCAAAAUGCGACUAACAAGUCUACGCCUGCUAGGCCGCAAAGUUUCGCCAGGACAGAUAGUGGUAGAUUUAGUAUGCGAACGAGUAAACCGCCCAUUACGAAUAGUGCUUCGAAAGGACUUAAGAAAGAUGGAAGUGGAAAGAAACAAGGUGGAAUUCGCAGCAACUCUUCCCUCUCCAGUCGAGAAGUAGAAUUCCAGAAUUGGAAGAGGCGAAAGAGCUACGAUCCGAUGAAGGCGGCUGCGGAAGGAAAGAAAAAGGAGCAGGCUAAAAGACAGAGCCUCGGGAUUGGUCAGAAUUCCAUGACGCAAUCGUACACCGAGGCCAACCACAGUCAGGACAGUUCACCAUCACAUUCUAGCUCGGUUCACAGAUCACAGGUAUCCUCUUUGCUAAAUAAUAUGGUUGGUGGUGACUUCUGACAAUGACAAUCGACGCUUCUUCGGCUAAUUCAAGUUUAACUCUGUAAUGUUCUUCAGCUUUCACGGUACAGCUGCCCUCGAGCAACUGAUCAGUUCGGAGGAAGAAGAAGAAGAAGACUUGACCUUGUCAGCCGACGAAGGCUUUAGUCCGCCUACGCCCAGCCCCUGCGAGUUAAGCCCUGCUAGAGCUUCCUUGAGGCAUACCCUAUGGGAACGAAUACGACAUUAAAGCCCAUGACCAUGUUGUUUAUGUUACGAUUGCGAUUUUUCGGUAAAAAUGAUAUUCCGCG